rnacentral:piRNA from 1 species
UAGGAAACUCCAAGGCUGGCGUGCCUG